rnacentral:rRNA from 1 species
AUUGAGCGCUGGCGGCAUGCUUUACACAUGCAAGUCGAACGGUAACAGGCCGCAAGGUGCUGACGAGUGGCGAACGGGUGAGUAAUGCAUCGGAACGUGCCCAGUCGUGGGGGAUAACGCAGCGAAAGCUGUGCUAAUACCGCAUACGAUCUAUGGAUGAAAGCGGGGGACCGUAAGGCCUCGCGCGAUUGGAGCGGCCGAUGUCAGAUUAGGUAGUUGGUGGGGUAAAGGCCUACCAAGCCGACGAUCUGUAGCUGGUCUGAGAGGACGACCAGCUACACUGGGACUGAGACACGGCCCAGACUCCUACGGGAGGCAGCAGUGGGGAAUUUUGGACAAUGGGCGCAAGCCUGAUCCAGCAAUGCCGCGUGCAGGAAGAAGGCCUUCGGGUUGUAAACUGCUUUUGUACGGAACGAAACGGUCUGGGUUAAUACCCUGGGCUAAUGACGGUACCGUAAGAAUAAGCACCGGCUAACUACGUGCCAGCCGCCGCCGUAA